UACGGAGGGAGCUAGCGUUGUUCGGAUAUACUGGGCGUAAAGCGCACGUAGGCGGCGACGUAAGUCAGGGGUGAAAUCCCGGAGCUCAACUCCGGAACUGCCCUUGAAACUGCAAUGCUAGAAUCUUGGAGAGGCGAGUGGAAUUCCGAGUGUAGAGGUGGAAUUCGUAGAUAUUCGGAAGAACACCAGUGGCGAAGGCGACUCGCUGGACAAGUAUUGACGCUGAGGUGCGAAAGCGUGGGGAGCAAACAGG
rnacentral:rRNA from 1 species